UACGUAGGGCGCAAGCGUUGUCCGGAUUUAUUGGGCGUAAAAGGCUCGUAGGCGGUGUGUCACGUCGUUCGUGAAAACCUGCAGCUUAACUGUGGGCGUGCGGUCGAUACGGGCAUCACUGGAGUUCGGCAGGGGAGACUGGAAUUCCUGGUGUAGCGGUGAAAUGCGCAGAUAUCAGGAAGAACACCUAUGGCGAAGGCAGCUCUCUGGGACGGUACUGACGCUGAGACGCGAAAGCGUGGGGAGCGAACAGG
rnacentral:rRNA from 1 species